rnacentral:tRNA from 1 species
GGAGGUUUAACUGAAUGGUAGAGUAUUUGCCUAGCAUGCAGAAGGCUCUGGGUUCAAUCCCUAACCACCC